GAGAGUAUUAUCUUCGAAGACGAAAUUUUUGGCGGGCAGAAAGAUCUGUGUUUGACGUUUGUUAUUGUUUUCGCCCAGGAGGUGAUGCCGCAUGGAAGUUUUGUAGUAACUCAGUAAUAGGCUUUGUGGUAUUGUGAAGUGUAAGAGACAAAAAACGGAACGCAAAAUUGUAGGAGAGAAAACAGGAAACGUAAUAUACAUUCGCAUUCUGGGAGGCAAACAAGCUGAUCGGUUAAAAUGAUUGUCUCACUGAAGUAUAUAGCGAUGAAACUCGCUAAAAACAGGAAGAGCAAUCAGCGAAACAGGAGGUACCGUGGGAAAUUCGCAUUUGCAAAAUAAGAUGCUGAAAUAGCAGGUCUGAUGAGUGAUGUUGUGGGCCACCAUAUUGUACGUGAAAUAGUGUACACCAUGUUGAUGACAUUACUGGUCAAAACAGGCAGGUGGAGUCUUGACUUUACACCAAUCUAUCUUUUAUAAUUGAGAAGUAGAUCACUUUAUAUAAACUGAUCUUGUUCUUCGGAUAUUGUUUGUGUGUGUUUUGAUUAGUUACAAAUAAUGCUGUGUUCCAAGGACCAUUGGCCUGUUUCUAUCAAAAUGAUGUUGAUUACUUUGGAUUUACGCUCUGUGUCUUUGUUUAUUGCUACAUACUGGCUAUUAACAGAUUACCAGCUAGCUUAUUGGCUGAAAAGUAAUGAUAAUGAACAUAUUGGUCUGUCACUGCUCAUGUUACUGUUACAGAAUGUUUACAUCUACUUUUAAGUAGCACAAGCAAUCAUUGUAGUCCUUUUAUACCACAUGGUUUUUGUUAAGUAUCCAUCUUUAGAGCAGAAGUUGCCAGAAGAAGCAAUUUCAGUUCAGAUUUAAAUUUUUGUAGAGGUUUACAGCAGCCAGCUGCCUUUGAUUUUAUUCUUCAGUUUCUUGUUACCAUGACUGGUUUUAAAUUAACAAGCGAUUUAUCAUCAGAUGUUACAUAUUUAUUGCAUAUUUGCAGCAUUCUUGUGUAGUUAUGGCAAGAGAAUGAAACAUAUAUGCACUGAAUGUGGUUAGAAAUAUGUUCAGUUCACACCUGGCCACAGCUGCACAACUCCAACAAAGCUGCAAACAUGCAAUAAAUAUGUACCAUCUGAUGAUAGUGAUU